rnacentral:rRNA from 1 species
GAUGAACGCUAGCGGCGGGCCUAAUACAUGCAAGUCGAACGAGACUAUUGGUAGCAAUACUGAUAUGAAAGUGGCGCACGGGUGCGUAACACGUAUGUAACCUACCUUUAACUGGGGAAUAGCUUCGAGAAAUCGAAAUUAAUACCCCAUAACAUUUAGAAAAGGCAUCUUUUCUUUAUCAAAGUUCAGGCGGUUAAAGAUGGACAUGCGGUGCAUUAGCUUGUUGGUGAGGUAAUGGCUCACCAAGGCUACGAUGCAUAGGGGGUCUGAGAGGAUGAUCCCCCACACUGGUACUGAGACACGGACCAGACUCCUACGGGAGGCAGCAGUAGGGAAUAUUGGACAAUGGGUGCGAGCCUGAUCCAGCCAUGCCGCGUGCAGGAAGACGGCCUUCUGGGUUGUAAACUGCUUUUGCCAGGGGAUAAAAAAGUCCCUGCGGGAAAAUUGAAGGUACCUGGUGAAUAAGCCACGGCUAACUACGUGCCAGCAGCCGCGGUAAU